rnacentral:lncRNA from 1 species
UGACACUGGUUGGUGCAAUUGCAAUGUGCUAAUGUUAUGGGUUUUCGUACGCCGAGCAGACGUUUGCAGACCCUUAUCAUUUCCACAUUCGUCUUUACACUACAGAAGAUAAAAUAUUGUGUAAUAUAUGAGAGAUUUCUUAUAUAGAAGGUCUAAAUAUGAAAGCACUAUAAACCCUAAUCUCAAUCAACAAGACCUCUUUUGAUUUAAAAUGUUAAUCAACAAGAAACGAUAUUUUGAUUUAACUAAACAUGUGUAUCUUAGACGAAAAAAUGAAUAAAGUAUUAAAAUACUUCUGAAUGAGCAUGCAUGUUACUACUGUUAAUGUGUGUAUAUAUAGUAAACAUGUGCAUGCAAAUGCACAAUUGCAAAGUAAAAGGUUUAGGGUGGAGGAAUGGUAGAACAGCAGCACUGCAGAAGUUGCAUUUAUACUGAAAUACCUCAAACUCAUCCAUCUGAUUUUUCAAUACUAUUUUCCUCUUCUUUUACCACUCUUC